UACGGGGGGGGCCAGCGUUAUUCGGAAUUAUUGGGCGUAAAGGGCGCGUAGGCGGCCAUGCGUGUCUUCCGUGAAAUCCCUCGGCUUAACUGAGGACGUGCGGAAGAAACUGCAAGGCUCGAGUCCGGGAGAGGGGGGUGGAAUUCCCAGUGUAGCGGUGAAAUGCGUAGAUAUUGGGAGGAACACCGGUGGCGAAGGCGGCCCCCUGGACCGGUACUGACGCUGAGGCGCGAAAGCGUGGGUAGCAAACGGG
rnacentral:rRNA from 1 species